GCCUAGCCCUAAAUCUAGACGCUAACUCUACUCUAGCGUCCGCCCGAGAACUACGAGCAUAAACGCUUAAAACUCUAAGGACUUGGCGGUGCCCCAAACCCACCUAGAGGAGCCUGUCCUAUAAUCGAUAACCCACGAUAUACCCAACCCCCCCUAGCAAGGUCAGCCUACAUACCGCCGUCGCCAGCCCACCCUCACUGAGGGGAUAAUAGUGGACAAAAUAGCUCUUCGCUAAUAAGACAGGUCAAGGUAUAGCCUAUGGGGCGGAAGAGAUGGGCUACAUUUUCUAGCAGUAGAACAUUACGGAGCGGGGUGUGAAACCACUCCUAAAAGGUGGAUUUAGUAGUAAGAGGGGAUAAUAAAGCCCCUCUGAAGACGGGUCUGGGGC
rnacentral:rRNA from 1 species